ACUCACUUUUUCGGCCACCUUUGGGAAGAAGAGACAAGAUAUGAAUCCUUCAGAUUAAGUCGGCAGUUUGCCAGCAGUUGCGUGCUAACAUUUCCAGCAGACAAGGAGCGACAUUAGCUUCAUUUGGCGUCGUGUUUCUCGCCACAAGGUGAACGUCAAGAGGACAUGAUGUGCUGUGAAGGCUGUUAUCUGCAACUGAACCUCAGAAGACUGAGCACAGAGGAUCCUCUAGGAGUUGAUGCAGAGACCUGUGACGCUGGGAGUCUGCUGUCCAUGUUCACCCGACACGAGGAUGUGUUCCAGAUAACACAGAGAUCAGAUAAAACACACAC